ensembl:snRNA
UCCCAGGGCAUCUGUUGUGACUGACACAGUUAGGACGGGUUUUUCUGUUCUUACUUGCGGAAUCGAUAUCAAGAGAUUUCAGAUGUGCAAUUUUUAUAAACAGGUUCAAGAAUUUCCCCUCGGGAUCAAUAA